AUACGUAGGGUGCGAGCGUUAAUCGGAAUUACUGGGCGUAAAGCGUGCGCAGGCGGUUAUGUAAGACAGAUGUGAAAUCCCCGGGCUCAACCUGGGAACUGCAUUUGUGACUGCAUGACUCGAGUGCGGCAGAGGGGGAUGGAAUUCCGCGUGUAGCAGUGAAAUGCGUAGAUAUGCGGAGGAACACCGAUGGCGAAGGCAAUCCCCUGGGCCUGCACUGACGCUCAUGCACGAAAGCGUGGGGAGCAAACAGGAUUAGAAACCCCAGUAGUCC
rnacentral:rRNA from 1 species